CGUGCCGGGUGGGAACACAGAAGCAUCGUGGCCUCGCUGUACUGCCACCCACGCUGUCCUCGGCAGCUGGGGCUGGGCACAGACUUCUCUGAGGGGCUUUCCUGCCUGCCAGCCUCCCCUCCGGGUGGCCCCCAAUGGAGGGCUUGGACAGGCAAGCCCAGGUGAAGCUCAGGGAGAGAAACAGAGAGAGAGAGGCAUCUCAUGGGCCACAUCCUGCCAUGGAUGAGUCUUAUUUGCUCUGCACAGUGCCUAAAAAAAUGUUUGAGCCAGUUGUUUUUGUUUUGUUUUUGAAACAGGGUUUCUCUAUGUAGUUCCGGCUGGCCUUGAACUCACUGUGUAGCCCAGGCUGGGCUCAACCUUGCGGCAACCCUCCUGCCUCAGCCUCUCAAGUGCUGGGAUCACAGGUGUGCACCACCGUGCCCACCAUUAGCCAGUUUUUUAAAGACUUCAUUUGGUUUUGUUUUUUAAAUCCCAAGAUCUCGAAGUUUUUACAGCAUAGGGUGUCCUGGCUACAGGCGGUGUUUGGGGACCCCCCCGCAGCCUCCUGGGCUUCCUGAUUCGCCAGGCCUGGCACCUCCUUUCUCCUACACCGAGAGAGCCCUGGCUUUAGGCUCACUGUGUUGCUGCCGUGAAAUGAGUUUCUUUGUCAUGGGAGCAGCAGCAAGACGAUCAGCGGUGUCCGCCUGCUUUUCGGGGCUGGGUUUGCGCCCAAGGGGUCAGUCGGCCGGGCUUUACAGAGUGUCCGGCUGUGGGAUUGAAGCACCUGUGACUGCUGUGGCCCCUCGGAAUGGAGCCCCGCUCUGCCGAGAAGCUGAGACCCCAGGGCUUCCUGUCAUGCUGGGUGGCCACACAGGAGCCAAACUGGAUCUGCCGUGCUCCAAAGCCCUCCACAAGGCAGAGUGCAUGCACACGUGUGCACACACACACACAUGUGCACAGAGACGCCCCAUUUUGCCCAGUGGAGCUGAACUCUCCCUGGUCCCUGGGGGACCCCACCUACAUGGGGCGACCCUGAGGGCUCCCUCAGCCCCUUUGCCCCUAGGGGCCACCCCUUCCCCCCGGGCCAGGCAUGGGGACCCGAUCCUUGGUACUCAAUGCCUCAAAGGCCCCAGCUCUGCAGCCUGGGCAGUGGCCUGGUGGCCUCGCUGUUGGACGCUCCUGGUAG
rnacentral:lncRNA from 1 species